rnacentral:misc_RNA from 1 species
AACGCAUAUUGCGCCCAAUCUUCCGGGAUUGGGCAUGUCUGCCUCAGCGUCGUUAUUAAUGGUACACACCGUAAAUGACUCUUGCUUGAUGGCAUGAGUUGAAGCUAUGAAUUUUGCGUGCAGUGCACGACAGAUCAACAGUAUUCUACCUUCGCUGUUCAUCGUAGGCAAGCUAGCUAGUCAAGCACAUGCUUUUCAUGGACACACGAAGGGUUGUGGAAUAGCUGUUAACCAUUUCGACCUGAGUUCAGGCAGGGCUACCCGCUGAACUUAA